GUGUGUGUGUGUGUGUGUGUGUGUUUGUGUGUGUUUAUCUGCUUUCUGUGUUUUUAGGUUUAAAAGGAGAGAAAUACAGUUGAUGCAGGAUAGCAUGUAUGUGAAAUGAAACAACAUUGCUGCAGACCACUCUCGUCCUCUAGUGGUCCAUAUCUAUGCUAGUGGUCAAGCGAUGUUUUACUUUCAUUUCUGUGUGUGUGUGUGUUUAUCUGCUUUCUGUGAUUUUCUAUAUAUUUUUAGGUUUACAUAGAGAGACAUACAGUUGAUGCAGGAUAGCAUGUAUGUGAAAUGAAACAACAUGGCUGCAGACCAGCACACACACACAGAUAAUAAAAUAAAGAAAUAUAAAUAAAUCUCCUAGCAGAUGAAUCGGGAGAUACUUUUAUUCGUGUUUCGGGUGUGUUAGAAACAACAGAGAGCCAUUUAGUGUCACUGCACACGUGUAAUGAUGUUUUAUUAUCAUGUAGCGUCCUGUGAUCCAGACACGAAAGAUUUCUGUUGCUGAGGAGAGGUGUGCUGAUAUUUAAAGUGACCAGGCUUACAGUUUCCACCAGCUGGACCAUGAAUCAGGUGAAAAGGCCCUCAGACACACACUGAACAUCAAGUCCAAGACAGCUAGAGCGGAAUGUGACAGAGACUUUCAUAUCAUGGUUUUUCUGACCAGUAAACCUUCAUCCACUCAGAACACACUAGCGCAAAGGUGACAGAGUCACAGAGCUGGAACCGGAGCAGGAGCGGAUAUCAUCAACACUUGUGUCUGAACUUAACCAUUAUCAGUGGAAACUUAAGAUGCAGAAGAUCACGACAGUGACGAUCAACAGAGAUCCAGCAGAGAUCGACACGAACAGAAACACAGAGACUGGAGGAACUGAAGAAGAGGAAAAGACAGACAGUCAUUAAUGAGAGAGUCACAUGACCCACAUUCACCACUGAACACACCAAUGAACAAUUCUGCUCUGAGGAUGAGGAUGAUGAUGAAGAACACUGUGAAGAGUUACUGCUGAUGACAGGAACAGGCAGACGAGCUGAAAACAUGAGAGAAUAAACAUGAAAACAAAAAUCUGCUUAUUUUGUAGUGAAUAUCAGUAAUAAAUGUUGUGUUAAGUGAAUGUUAAGUGUGUUAAGGGACACUGAAUGUGUCUGUCAUCUCAAAGUAUAAAAUGAAUAAACAUUUGACAAAGUAAA